UAACCUUUACCCUGCUAAAUUUCUAAAAUGAACUGGUCCAUCGUUCAAUUUGGACAGUACCAUCUAUUUUUCAAAGGGGUGUUCACUGAAAAUUUACUGACUGAAUAGCGAACAGUAGAUGUGCAGGCUGAUCUUGGUCUGCACUGGUCGCAAAGGCAGAAUCACUUUUCGCUACCAGGCUAAAGGUUAAUGGUUAACUAGUUGUGAAACUGAUUCAAAGUUGUUUACAUCUAAAAUGCAAGACAGUAAAUACUCAAAAUUUAUUUUGUGCAUGGGUGUACUACUGGUGUGUGGACUUAAAAUGUAGAUUAUUACAAAGUAGCUCUAAUUUGAAAUUUUUUGCUGUUAACAGGUUUCCAUGUUGUCUGCUGUUGGAAGAACAUCUCUGAGGGACUGUAAAUAGAAUCUUUAUCUUCUGCUUAUAUACAACAUUUACUCAUAGGCCUGUGGCACAAUUUCUAGUUGUACAAGGAUAUCAUGGUGUUUGAUAUGUUGAUGACAAUGAAACUAAUGACCAUGUUAACAUCAGUGGAAAAGUAAACUGGGAGAAGAAACGACAACAUCAUUUUCCAUCUUGAAGGCCUUAUACAGAAUUGCUAAGGGAACAACAAGUUUGAAAGUUCUUGCCAGUCUCUUCAAAUAUUCAUAUGACUAGGAAGGGGAACGUAGGAGUGGGAGAAGUGCCUGUGACUGAUAUGCACUGUCAGAUAGAAAUCCAGUUCAAAUGGGAAUCUGAAAUAGUGACAUAGCAGAAAUCAUGAAUUACAUACUGUAUAGUCUGCUCUAAAACACAAACAUUUAAAUUUAAAAUGUGUUAAAUGCAAAACAGUUUUACUUACAAAAUGAAUCUUUCAGUAAUUUCUAAGUGCAGCUGAAAAGGAGUGUAUAUCAAAAUCCCCUUGAUCAAAACCCCUCCACUGAAAAAUGACAGGGUGUUACAAAAUCCCCUUCACACAUUUGCAGGGGGUAUCAUAAUCCCCUCUGUGAUUAACAUUAUAGAUAUAU